rnacentral:rRNA from 1 species
UAGAGUUUGAUCCUGGCUCAGAAUGAUUGUUGGCGGCAUGGAUUAGGCAUGCAAGUCGAGCGAGAAGUGUAGCAAUACACGGAAAGCGGCGGAAGGGAGAGUAAUACGUGGGAAUCUGCCCUUAGACCUGGGAUAGCAGCGGGAAACUGCUGGUAAUACCAGAUAAUGUCUAUGGACCAAAGGUGUGAUUCCGUCUAGGGAUGAGCCCACGUCCUAUUAGCUAGUUGGUAGGGUAAUGGCCUACCAAGGCGAUGAUGGGUAGCGGGUGUGAGAGCAUGACCCGCCUCACUGGGACUGAGACACUGCCCAGACACCUACGGGUGGCUGCAGUCGAGAAUCUUCGGCAAUGGGCGCAAGCCUGACCGAGCGAUGCCGCGUGCGGGAUGAAGGCCUUCGGGUUGUAAACCGCUGUCGAGGGGGAGCAACUUCCAUAGAUUUAUCUUUAUGGAUUGAGUGAUCCCUGAAGGAAGGACGGGUUAAGUUCGUCCCAGCAGCCGCGGUAAGACGAGCGGUCCAAACGUUAUUCGGUAUCACUGGGCUUAAAGAGUUCGUAGGCGGUUAAACGGGUGAGGUGUGAAAGCCCUCGGCUCAACCGAGGAACUGCGCUUCAAACCGUUUAGCUAGAGGAAGACAGAGGUGAGCGGAACUGAUGGUGGAGCGGUGAAAUGCGUUGAUAUCAUCAGGAACACCGGUGGAGAAAGCCGCUCACUGGGUCUUUUCUG